CAGCAGCCACGGUAAUACGGAGGGUGCAAGCGUUAUCCGGAUUCACUGGGUUUAAAGGGUGCGUAGGCGAGCAGGUAAGUCAGUGGUGAAAUCUUCGAGCUUAACUCGGAAACUGCCGUUGAUACUAUCUGUCUUGAAUAACGUUGAGGUGAGCGGAAUAUGUCAUGUAGCGGUGAAAUGCUUAGAUAUGACAUAGAACACCGAUUGCGAAGGCAGCUCACUAAACGCUCAUUGACGCUGAGGCACGAAAGCGUGGGGAUCAAACAGGAUUAGAUACCCCCGUAGUCCCUGUCUCUUAUAC
rnacentral:rRNA from 1 species